GUCCCCAUCGUCUAGCGGCCUAGGACGCCGGCCUCUCACGCCGGCAACAGGGGUUCGACUCCCCUUGGGGACGCCA
rnacentral:tRNA from 1 species